CACAGUGAGCCUGGGAGUCGUUCCGGAGAGGGCAGAAGAAGCUUCAGAGCAUGCUGAGAUUACCAACAGGAGCCAACAUGGCCAGCGACAC
rnacentral:lncRNA from 1 species